rnacentral:rRNA from 1 species
CCUACGGGAGGCAGCAGUGGGGAAUAUUGCACAAUGGUGGAAACCCUGAUGCAGCGACGCCGCGUGAGUGAAGAAGUAUCUCGGUAUGUAAAGCUCUAUCAGCCGGGAAGAAAAUGACGGUACCUGACUACGAAGCCCCGUCCCACUACGUGCCAACACCCUCGGUAAUACGUAGGGGGCAAGCGUUAUCCGGAUUUAGGGGGCGUUAAGGGAGCGUAUACGGUCAGACAAGUUCGCAGUGAAACCCCAGGGCCCAACCCUGGGACUGCUGUUGCAACUGCCGGGCUGGAGUGCAGGAGAGGUAAGCGGAAUGCGCAGUGUAGCGGUGAAAUGCGUAGAUAUUGGGAGGAACACCAGUGGCGAAGGCGGCUUACUGGAUUUUAACUGACGCUGAGGCUCGAAAGCGUGGGGAGCGAACAGGAUUAGAUACCCGAGUAGUC